rnacentral:rRNA from 1 species
CACCACCAGGAGUGGAGCCUGCGGCUUAAUUUGACUCAACACGGGAAAACUUACCUGGUCCUGACACUAGAAGGAUUGACAGAUUGAUAGCUCUUUCUUGAUUUGGUGGAUGGUGGUGCAUGGCCGUUCUUAGUUGGUGGAGUGAUUUGUCUGGUUAAUUCCGAUAACGAACGAGACUCUAGCCUAUUAAAUAACACACAGAAUCAUGUCUUCUGCGGUGUUUCUUAAUGGGAUCAAGUGUGUUUAACACUUUGAAACAGAGCAAUAACAGGUCUGUGAUGCCCUUAGAUGUUCGGGGCCGCACGCGCGCUACAUUGAAAGACAAAAUGAGCGUUUCUGGUUUUUAACAAAACUAGUAAUCUUUGAAUGUUUUUCUUAAUGGGGAUAGGGGAUUGCAAUUGUGCCCCUUGAACGAGGAAUUCCCAGUAAGUGCUAGUCAUUAGCUAGUACUGAUACUUC